AAUGAACGCUGGCGGCAGGCCUAAUACAUGCAAGUCGAACGGCAGCACAGUAAGCGUUCGCUUCUGCGGUUAGCGACUGGCGGGCGGGUAACACGUACAUAAGAUUCUUCUAUUUCGUGGGUGAUUUCGUGGGGCAGGUUCUACUACCACCUCAUAUGUUCUACCGGUGUAAUCAGAAGUUCUUGACACUCUGCCCGUUUGUUAUAGAUGAUUCCGGGCUGCAUUAGCUAGUUGGUAAGGUAACGGCUCACCAAGGCGACGAUGCGUAGCCGAUCUGAGAGGAUGAUCGGCCACACUGGAACUGAGACACGGUCCAGACUCCUACGGGAGGCAGCAGUGGGGAAUAUUGCACAAUGGGCGCAAGCCUGAUCCAGCCAUACCGCGUGAGUGAAGAAGGCCUUCGGGUUGUAAAGCCCUUUUGUUGGGAAAGAAAAGCAGCAGGUUAAUACCCCGCUGUUCUGACGGUACCCAAAGAAUAAGCGCCGGCUAACUUCGUG
rnacentral:rRNA from 1 species